GUCCAGUGCCAGACAGCUUCCCAUACAGCAAAUUUCCCAUCAAGCACUGAAAGCAUGUUUUUUCUACAUCUGGAAACUGUCCUGCUCCUCACUGGUGUUUGAGUGUUGUUCUGAUAUCCUGCUGAAAAGCCUCCAACCAAAAUCAGCCAACACAAAUUAAUAAAUUACCACCAGUCAGCAGGGGCAGAGUAACUGGACGGUGUGUGUUCUUGUCCUGAUGCACCCUACACCUCAACUGAUUAGCUGUAACUCCAUAAUUAAUGUCGAGUGUCCACCUGUGUCUGCUCUCCUCACUGGUACUGCAUUCCCCAUCUCAGAGCCAAAGAAACUCAAGAGGUCCUCCAACGAGCAAACACAUUACAUAAGCAUGAGGUGAGACUGGAGACUCUGAGAGGUAGGGAUGUUGAAAGAGCACUGAUUUAUGAGAACUGGAGCAAAGUGGUAACUGAAGCAAUAGCUCCUUUUCCAUGAUGCUGCCCUGUGUUUUGUAACCUACCUCAUGGCCACUGGAUGAUUAGGACCUUUCCUGAACGCACGAUUUCCCUUACCCUCAGUGUUUAUGAUGGCUGGUUUCAAUUAUUCCUUUCCUUCACACUCUGUAUUUCAACCUGCCUCAGAUGAGCAAUUCAUCUACUCUAUCAAAUAACUUACCAAGAUAGAUUUCACAUGCAAGGCAAAUACAUUUUCCUUCCCCUCAUAAUUCCACAACACUGUUUUUUAGAAUUCUGUUUCUCUUGCCUGAUUCCCAGCAAACCCUUACCCAGAGUAGAGCUUUCUAAUGUGCAGAUUGGGUAUAAAAUGCCAUCAGAUAACAGUGACAUUUCCACCUACUCUGUCCUGACCCUUGUGCCACAACUUUUCCCCCAUGUUACCUGAGCUUAUAUAAAGAGUGGGGUCAGAAAACGUUGCACAGGGCUGAAACAAGACCCCACCAUGGAUUGUCAUGUCCAUGUACAUGACUGAAGUAACUGGUGCCUAUGCAGAUUUGUAUGUAGUGGUGUUCUACGUAUGCGUGUGCACAGCAUGCAUGGCCAUGACCAAUGGUGCCAUGAUGCAUGUGAAAAAGCCCAUUUUUUACACAUGUAUUCAUGCUUUGUGAACUUCUGAUAUCAAUUCAUUUAAGAAUGGAGAGAAAAUUAAGAGAUUUGGUGCAUGUAGUUGCUCAUUCUUAAUACUCUUCUGAUCUUAGCAUAGAUGGGACCUGCACAGAUGAGUGAUGAGCGCUUGGAGGGUGAUUCCGUGGUAGAAGCAUCGUGUGGGUCCCAAGUUGGGUAUGGACACUGCUAUGGCACCCAAGUGAACGGAGCCCUGUGUCAGCAAAAAGCGUGAUGAAUAUCCAGGUGAGCUCAACAAGCACUCAGCAGAAUUCAUCUGCAGCUCAUUGAGGCAACACAGAGAGAGUUCAUGGGGAGUUUAUCAUGGGAACUGCUGAGGGUUAAUGGCCAGCAGAACAGAUUGAGCUGUGGGAUUACUAAAUAAUGAACUUUUCUCUCCAAUAAAUUUGUCCCUGACUUAUAAAAAAUCAAUAACAUACUACAUUUCGGGCUUUUUUUUUCCUUUUCCUUUUGGUGACGGUGGGGAAUGUGGGCUCAGAGUAAUUUUUAAACUACUCUUUCAUAUAUAUGUAUAAAUAUAUUUUACUCUGAUCAUUUAUACAAAAGCUCAGAUGUGCCACAUUUACUGCAGCUUCAUCACCUAGAUAGAUUUUUAUGUGGGUGCCCGGCUAUUGCUUUGUUUAAUCAUUCUUUUCUCUUCCCUCCCCAGUCCCUUGCCUCCCCCUUCCCUUCCAUGCUUUUUAUGACACUAUCGUCAGCGCAGAUAUACAGGAGGGUUUUCAUGUGAUAUAGGAUGUCGGAGAGGUCAGGUCAGCUGGGACAGAGCCAAAAAUAUUAGCACUUUCUAACUGCUGAGGAGAGAAAUUGAAAUAAUAGCACUUAUAAAUUGGCAGGUUUUCAACUGCAGGAGAAGAGAGGGAUUUUUUGCGUGUGUUUAUUUUGUUUCAGAAGUGGAGAGGAGGCGGAUCCGGUUCUUGGCCACAGAAGAGAUGUUCACUGUGCUUUGGGCUCGUGUUUGUGUUAAAUUUGGCCAGGAAGUGGUUGGUGGGCUGGUAUCUGUUCUCAGACACGCAUUUCCUGUUUUUAACCCAAUCUUUCUUCCCUCCAUCUCUGUAUGGAAAUAGAAUUAUAGAAUCAUUAAUGUUCGAAGAGACCAUUAGGAUCAUCAAGCCCAACCACAGGUCCCUCAGAUGACUGCAUAUAGCAAGUCUCCCCAAAAUACAGUCACACCGUCACUGUUAGACAGCAUCAGCAAUGGAAAUCACCUCCUCUCACCAAAGCCCAAAGUGCUUUGCAGGAUCUGCCUUCCAAAACCUGCUCUCAUCUGGUCUCCGAUGCUUCACCUCAACCCAGGCACAGCUGUUACGUGUGCCAACCUGGGGAAAUCAGAAGCCAUGCAGCAAUAACUGUUAAUUGACCGAGAGCCACCUCUGCGAUGCCAACAGGAACAAAAGAACAAGCAUCUGGCUUUGCCAUCUGUGCCUGUUUAAAUGCAGCAAAAAGAAACCCUUCUCCAGAUCUCCCAGCUGGGUGGAGAGGUAACUGGAUUCAGCAGCAACGUGGAGUUGCAGGUUGGCUGGGUCUGUGGCUCCUAGUCACUCUGACAUGUGAAACCCUUUGCACGAGACAUGUUGACCUUCCCAGCCCUGGCUUUGUAGAUGAGAGCAAUGAUGGGCUCUGAUGGACGCAACUGAGCAGCCUGGAGUUAUUUCUAGUCAUGGUUGCAGUUCACUGUGAAUAAAAGUCCGGGUGUUCAGAAAUCACUCAGUGCUCAAAGUACUUGCAAGAGCUUUGAUGCACCCUUUACCUCUUUCCAUCUCACUAGGCAUGGCUAGGAGAGCUCUUCAAUGGAUCACAUGUCCUGGAAAAGGACACCUGUCUUGUGCCCCACACAUCCCAGAGGUCAUAAGGAAGGGAUCACUGGUGUUCAGACAACCUCCUCCACCAAAGUCUGCAAAACAAAUUAAAAGCAUAUCAAAUCUUCUGUUUUCCAAGGAGCUUCACAUGAUAAAAGCUGAGUCAGAGGUCUCUGGUGUGCUGGGAUCCUGAAACUUCUAGGAAGGUUUUCACCCCAACAUAGAGUACGAAGCAUCAGGCCUUCCACCAGGACAGACAUCCUAUUUGUAAACACUGCUUUAUUGUAUCUUACUCUCCUCCAUAAUGCUUUUCACUCCAGCAUGGAUGAACCUUCAUGGGAGUUUUUCCAGUGUCACCCUUAAUAAUGACAUCAUUCUCUUUUUACCAAGACACUUUGCUAGACUGGAAGACAACAGUUUCGUAUCAGUCCCUCAAGACAAGCCAGUAAUCAUCCAACAGACCAUCUCAUCUUCACUGACCAUUCCUGUGAUGGGAGUUGCUCACGUCAGAGGAGCAUUAAAGGAUGGAUGAGGAGACUUCAUCCAGCAAUUUCCAGCGCACCAUGAUGAAUGGCUGGAGGGUAGCAGGUGACGUCUCAGAGAACAUCUCAAAGGAAAGGACAAAGAUUGAAGCAACUGAACUGCUGUAAGGGCAUAGCUUUUGUCUCCAACUCCACAUGAGUUACAAGAAGCUCAUAAAUAGAUGAGCAACUUGUAUGCAUUGAGCAACUCAUGUGUAUGUCACUGAAGCUGGAAAUGUUCAAGGAACAUUUAGACGUUGUGUUGAGGGAUGUGGUUUAGUGAGAACUCUUGGUGAUGGGUGGAUGGUUGGACUGGAUGGUCUUGUAGGUCUUUUCCCACCUUGGCAAUUCUAUGAUUCUAUGAUUGCUACAGCUCAGCGCAGUCUGGAAGUGCUGGAACUCCUUUUCAGCUGCUGGAGCUGAGAUCUCUAAAGGUGCUCAGGUGCCUAAAGAUGCUGACAUGCUUACUAGGCUUUGCAGAAGUGCUCAUUUUUUAAAGUCCUUAUAGUUAUCUCUCUUCAGACUCCAAAGUGGCUCCAGAAAGCUGCUCUGGAAAGUCUACAGAUACAUGAACAAUGUUUUAAUCCUCUGACCAGAGAAAAAUCUCUGUCCUUCCAGCCACCUGGUGCACAGCAGUUCAUAUGCACACCGCUGAGGCACACCACCCUGGAAUGAUUCCUUUCCUCUAAGCCCGUCUAGCCAGCAUGUCAUUAUUAUUUUUGAGUGAUCAUGUGUUUUGAGAUCAAAGGACUUAAAAUAAAGCAAUAGCUGUGUUGCAGCCAGCCUCACUGCGUGGUUCUGAAAGUGUAUACGUGUUGUCUGCCUUGUUGGGAAAGCACAGGAAUAAAGAGAGUUCAGAGGAUACAAAUCAGGUUGCUCAGAGAAGCUGUGGAUGCCCCAUCCCUGGAGGUGCCCAAGGCCAUGUUGAGCGUGGUCCUGGGCAACCUGAUCUGGUGGGCAGCAACCAGCCACAGGAGGGAGGUUGAAACCCUAUGAUCUUUAAGAUCCUUUCAUGGGCUAAAACAUGCCCAGAACACUAAUCCAGAGUUUCCUCACUCCUAAAAGGAGUUGAGGAUGGACCAUAUAUUCUACAAUCAAGGGACCAAACAGCAGACAAUUCACUCACUGGGCAGUACAGAAGUAACAUACAACUCAGAUCCUCAGAAAGACCCACAGGGAGCUUAACACAUCAGAGCAGCUUCUCCCUCAGCACUGCAGGUAGGAUUUCCUGAAAGACUCACCCACUUUCUGCACCUGCUCCCCUUGGCAUCAAUAAGAGGAGGAGGGGAAAGAAGGGAACUGCUAUUGAUUGUGAAAAUGCAAUUCAGCGGAUGCUUCAAUAAAUCAGAAUCUUAGAAUCAGAGAAUAUUCUGAGUUGGAAGAGACCCACAAUGACCAUCAAGUCCAACCCCUGGCUCCACACAGCAGCACCUAAACCCUAUGUCUGAGAGUGAUGUCCCUGUGCCCAUUGCCUUGGGCAGCCUGCUCCUCUGCUGGGGGCCUAUCCCUCCAAUUAAUCCUCCUUCCUCCAUUCUCUGCUGCAAGGAAGUGUCCAGCCAAACCUUCGUGAUUCACGCUAUAAAGAGAUCAAAUCAUGUCAGUACUUCUAUGUUUUGCUGCUGAAAAGGAAGAUUAUCUUUCCUGCCUCUGACAAAAGACCACUAAAAGCAAUUUGCAGACAAUACCCUAGUUAAGAACAAUAAGCCAAGCGUAUGUCAUUAGUAACCAGACAAGUUCAAAGGCAUUUGUACUCCUGCCUGGUACUCCAGUCACUCUGCUCUGUACUGUGAAAAGCACUACAUGUACUUCCUGAGAGCUCUUCUCCAUCAAACUACCAAUAGAAUGAACCUUUUGUGCAUUUUUGUAUAACAAGAAAUGGGCUUGCAAUUUUUCUUCACAGGUUUAAGUAUUGGGGAGUUUUCUUCCCUGGGAUAAAGUGGUGACAUGCUUGGCAACCCAAUACUCACCAAACAAUGGGGAUAAAUAAAAUAUAUUCAAGAAAGGGGUAUUUAUUAUUAUUAUUACUAUUAUUAUUACUAUUAUAGCUAUCCAACCAAUCUAAGGAAAAAUAUUUCACAGUAAGGGUGGUGAGGCACUGGUACAGGUUGCCCAGAGAGGUGGUGGGUGCCCCAUUCUUGGAGACAUCCAAGGUCAGGCUGGAGGGGCUCUGAGCACUGAUGGAGCUGUGGGUGUCCCUGUUCAUUGCAGGCAGUGGGGCCAGAUGGUCUUUAAGGGUCCCUUCCAACUCAAACCAAUCUGUGAUAUGCCAUGAAUCCAACCACUGAGUGAAAACAGUACUUUGUGAGAGAAGUGCCAAACAAUGCCAAACAGAUACUGGAGGACAGUAGCCCUCCUGCUUGCAGCAGUGCUCUGAUGGCUCAGCAGAUGCCAAGCAGCUGGUGCUGCCUACUGGCCUGUGCAAGGGUUCAUGCAUAUCAGUUGUCCCCAUUCAUAUAUGUUUAUGACAGAUGCCCAUCCACUGGACCCUACCAGUCCAAGACAGUGACACUCAAUAACUGCAUCUCUGUCUCUAGGUUUCCAAACAGACAAAAAGCUUUACACAGGCAAGUGGAACGAAACCUUAGCCUUCUCAGAAGCACACUUAGGGACUGUGAAGAAAAUUUUGGCGAUGAGUUUUUCACCCCUGGGACAACAUCCUAUGCAUCAUAGCAAGAAUACAUCGGGGAAAGUGCACACCUGGAAGAGCUCACAGUCUGAAGGGAUUGGAUAGAAACCUCACAUCUGAUGUUGUGCCUGGUUUUUAAAGCAGUUUUGAACACUGGGUAUCAAAAUAUGUUCCCUGCUCUGAAGUUUAAGCAACCUGCUCCUCACGCUUCAAUAGCAAGCUGCACUCAAGAGGACAUUUGCUGCCCACUCCUAUGGAUGACAAAACACAAUUUAUGGGAUGUGUUGUACAGAAAGGAGGCAGCCUUUGCCUCAAGGUGUAGGUAGCAGAUUGACCAAAGCUAGAGGUCAAUAGGCCAAUAUUUGACCAGGCAUGGCUCCUCCUUGCAUCCCGUUUGGGAGCCUUUCUGCAAGCAGAGAGCAGAGAUUGAGAAAUCAGCAAGAUUGGUCACCCUUCCCUUCAUUGCUUAAAUUAUUUACUUUACCGUUUUCUCUUCUCCUGGCAGCUGAUUUGUCAAAGCAAGUGAAGCAGCUAGAAAGAGAGUUGUGGCUGCAGCAGGAAUAUUACAGCAAUUAGAAAGGGCCAUAAACAGUUCUCUACAUAUGAAACUGCUCAUUGAAUUUGACAAGCAGCCUUUUCUUCUUCUCCCCGCCACCAAAUACAAUGCAGCCUCUUUCCCUUUCAUAAAUGCCAGCACUUUUUCUUUCGGUUCCCACCAAGGGUCCCUCACACUCAACACUCAGAUCAAUACAUUUGCGGACUGAAAGGGACCUUUCUCCUCAACACUCAGCCUCUCGCGGACAGAAUUAAGGCUGAUUGAGUAUGUCACAGUCCGACUGCAAUUUAGAGAGGCAUCGUGCAACCGUGCUGUCCUGGCACCGGUCCAGCUGUCAGAUUUAAUAGAAAAGUAGAGCAGCUUCAUCUGCCCCAAACGGCACGCUGCUCUCUGCAGCCACUGAUUUAGGCUUCCUACACGUUACGGUCUGUCACUUGGAAGUGAUGGAUGAGGUACCAGUGGAUGUCUCUUGCUCACUCCCGGUAGCGAUAAGCAAGUAGCAGGUACGUCAGGAGAAGAGCUGAAGGGAUUAUCUUGGGCUUAUUUUGUGUUUGCCAAUACUGAAGGCGGAGAACAUGCUGCCAGAGCAGGAUGUUAUAAAUUAUAUUGUGCUAUAGCAGGUAGGGCUGAAACGUGGUGGCAAUGGGUUGAUGGUUGGACUUGGUGAUCUUAGUGGUCUUUUCCAACCUUAAUGAUUGUGUGAACCUGUUGAGGCUUCUCCAACCUCCAUAAUCAUGGGGGGAGACCUCUACAGAGCUCCCUUCCACUUACAUAGUGUCUAAGGGUUGAACUCUUGCCAUAUGUUAGAAAUUAGGACCAAAGGAGGUCUUGUUGACCUCCUGUCCUGCCAUGAGAUAGAAUUGCCUGUGCUACUUUGCACAACACUGGGUCAUUCAGGUUAAUAUUUCCCCUGGAGAGAAGCAGCAUGAGUCAGAGUACCCACUUGGAAAGGAGAGAUUGGGGUGAUUUGGAGUGGAAUGAUGGAGGGCCUUAUGACAAACUGCUCUGUAAUUACGUUGGCAAAGGUCUUCUGCCAACAAGGAGCAGAGCAGCACCUAGGUGGAUACAGGUGGCAUUGCAUUUCCUGGGUACCUCAAUUUGCUUUGUUUCUGCUCCAGAAGGAUGCUGAUUAACUGUGGGUGGUUCAGGGAAGAGCUGCCUGAACAGCUGAAGGUUUGGGGAUGGAGAUGACAGGAGCAGGGGGAGGCAGAUGCUGCCUGGUGUUACUGAGAAAAGGUUAAGGGGUAAUUUAUCAUUGUCUGUAAGUACCUGCUUGGGAGCAGUAAUUUGAGAUGAGAGCUUUUGAGUCUGUAUCACAAAAGGAUAACUGGAACUGUUGGCUGUGUGUUGGUGUGAGGUGCAUUUUCUGAGACACAGGCACAGCAAAAGGAGUGGGUGGGGGAAAGGCAUCACAGCUGUCAACAGGUGCUCCAGCCCUCCACCUCCAAUGGUUGCAGUCCCCUCUUUCCUUAACUCGGGAAUCCUGCACCUAUUUGCAAAUGACAAGGCUGAUGCAAGCAGAGUAGAAUAGGGUAUUUACCUCCUUCUGCCUAAAAAUCCCAACGUUGCCUUUGCCUUGCAAGAUGGAACAGAACCACUUACAAUCCCAGAUUUUCUACAGCCUGUUAAUCCCAAGAGAUGCAGACAUGUCAGACUUCUUGGCUUCAGGGAUUUCAACCCAAAGGAUAAUUAUGAAAAAACUCCCAAAUUGAUAUGCUUGAUCUUAAGAUUGUUACCACAGCCCCAAUAAUUUUGUUGGAAGUCCCAACCCCACUGAUUAAAUCACAUUCUUAAGCUGCAAUUCUCCACCUAUCUACAGUCAUUCUGUAUUUUGACACAGCAACCCCAGUGAUUUCCUACAACCAUAUCUCCCAUAACAUGCCUGGUUAUUAAUUCUCAGGAUGCAUCACACAGCUUCAGCAGUGAAAAGAUGCCCUCUGCAUUAUGGAAGAUAAAGUUCUUCAGGAAACUCAGCUCAGAAUGCAGCUUGGAGCUGGGAGGUCCCAGUUUGCAGUGUCCACAUGAGAAAAGACUGCCACUUAAUUCUGAAAUCACAAUGUAUUCAAAGUCAUUACUUGCUAUCAAAAAUAUAAGGGAUUACCAGAUGCAAAAUGAGGCAUUUAAUUCUCAUGUCAUCUAAAUCAGAAAUUUUCCCCCAUCACAUUUAAAUGGUGUGAUGAAGCCCUUAUGGGAAACCUGUUUGGCUGAAGAGACCAUGGCCAGUUUCAAGGAUUAACUACUCAGUACAAACCAUGGUGACUUUUCCUCAGCUGGAUGCCAUUAAACAGAGAUCAGUUCCAUUUGCUUUGUUGAAAGAAAGAAAAAAAAAUAGAGAAAAAUAAAAGCUCUUUUUAGCUCCAACUCUGUGUCUAGCUUUGAGGAGCCUUGUCUUCAGAUAGUUGGAUAGACCAUGGCUGUCUAUGACAGGGACAGGACAGGAGCUUGCACCAGGAGGAGGCUGUGCUGCCACAGCAUUCAGCUCUGCAAGCCCAAACGUUGUGGCUGCCAACGUUCAGAUGAACAAUGCAAUUUACAUCCAAACACUGCUCCUGGGCAGCAGAAUGCAACCAGUCAACCAGAGCAAGGGCUGAUUAUGGGAAACAUCUGGGGUGAAAUGGGAAUUCCCCAUUCUCUAGUCAUUCCCUGGACUAUUUUAGGACAGCUUCUUCAUAAAAUGGAAGUGCAGUCUUCUCCAGAGCCCCACCUGUAUAACCAAGGGCAGGUUGGGCCAGAGGAAUGAAAUAAAUGAGCUUUUUAAUGGGCUUUAAUCACAAAUUGUCCUUCAGGGCUUGAUAGAGGUUUCUGCCACAUCAAAGAGAAAUCUCCUGUCCAUUUCAAGGGGAGAAGAAGCAAACUUGUGAACAGCACAUCAGAAUUAAACCUUGUAAAAGAUCACUGCACAAAGUAAAUGCACUGGUAGUGCUCAGGAGAAGGGAGAGAGCAACUGCUUGGCUGGUGAUUUAUCACACCUUUUGGACCCCCAAACUCUUUUGCAUUUUGAUUUCAGAUGGGCUAUAGAAAGACAUGUCUAUAAUGUCUGUGUCCAACUAUCCACUCUUAAUGACCCAGUGGAACACCCAAAACAGGCAGAGCUUUGCCUGUUUCAACAUGAGAGUCCAUCUUCCAAAACAAGAGCUGCAGAGACUAUGUCUGGAUCAGGAGAUAGGGGCUCAUCUUUCCUUCUGCAGUCAUUUGGUGACUACAGCACAUGCCUGAGCGCUAGGAAAUGGUCAGUGAGCAAUGCCUAUCUCUUUUGCCUGUAAUAAUGUAAGCCUGCUUGUCCCUCAUAAGUACUUUGAGGACAUGAUAAUGGGAUAUUCAAACACAGGGAGCUCACUGUUGCUGCCAAUGGGACUUCCCCACUUUAUCAUGGAAGAUGGGAAAGAGUGACUACAGAUUGCACUUUCCUCCUUGCCGUCAUAUCAGGCUUCUGCUCUGCUUCCCCAGCUGGUUAAUACACUGCUUCUUAACUACAUCUCUUCAGAAAUGUCAGUCCAGAUGAUGUCAGAGCUGAAAGAUGACCUCUCAAGCCCUGGCCUGGGAGAGUAUUGGCUCCCUUCCUUAAAUCCACAUUGUACAGGGACUCUACGAGGAAGUCUGAACAGAUCUGUGGCCUUUAGCAGGGCAUGAGAAAGGGAGACUGCUCAGAUGGGAGAAGGACUUAUGGGCAGACAAUGAGGAUUUUUCAUGAUGUGACAUUUUAUUUGCGCUGAUAUGUUGACAUGAGUCCUGUGAGUCAUCAGGAGAGCUGACUUCUGGAUUCUCAGUUCUUAGCUCCUCUUUUGUCUACAGGGCUUGCUUCUUUCCGGGACUUAGCACUAAUGAAAUUAAAAUCUUUUGCUUCUGAAAGAAUUAUGGGUCUGGCUCAUGCCAAAAUAUUAAUUCUGUGGGAGAAAGGGGCAAUGUAAGCAUCUGAUGGGUGUGUGAGAUGGAUGAGAAAAAACAGAGGAAAAUUUUGUCUUAGUGUCAGGCUCUGCAAUUUUUAUUUUUUGGAGUUAGCUUCAUUUAAGACUAACUGAGCAUCAUAGGCAGUCAAUGGCUUAACAGAUAUCUGUGCCAAAGAACACGUUAUCUGCAAGUGAAAUAUCGUAACGGGUCUAUGUGAUGGAAAGCACUAGAAGGACAAGUUAUAAAUACAAGGUCCAUGUGGAGACUGUUUACUUGAGCACAGUGCACUUAAACACCUCAUUUAAACAGCCCCUUAGCCUUAGCUAAGGGGAAUCCAUUUCUGGACAAUAGAUAAUCACAGAAUCAUAGAAAAAGUUGUGUUGGAAGGGACCUUAAAGAUGAUGUAGUUCCAGCCCCCUGCCAUGGAUGAUGGAUCUUGGCCCACUGUCCCCUCAGAGAAGGGACCUGACUGUGUCCCAGGGCCUGUGGCUUUGGAAAAUCAUUUAUGGAUUUGGUAUAUUGCUCAGGAAGCAUCUUGGGAAUGAUCAAGAAGGACACUACAGUAUAAUAGCAGAAUGAACAAGAUCUGUAAAUCUGAGUUGGUGACUGCCUUGGCUUGACUCUGCUCAGCCCACUGCUGUCCUUCAUCCAGUUCUUCUCAAGAGGUCCUCCGUUAUUGCGCAAUUCUGUGAUUCGUCAGAGGCCAAUCUCUGAAAGGUUCAUGACAAGAGAACAUGUAUACAUACAUAUUGUUCGGACAGACACGAUGUAUCUCCCUCAGUUUGCUCUGUCUGUGAUUCCUGGUAGAAUAUCUUGAUUAUAGUACCAUAAAGAUUCACAACUGAUUAUGGACCAUCAACGCAUACGCUCCGUCCACCUACAGAGCCAUGGGCAACUCUGUCAUACAUUGCCAGUCCAGGAGGAUCAACACAACAGUCAUUCCACAAACUGCAAGGCACCUUCAUGUUCCUCACAAUAAGGAUAAAGAGAGAAGAUAAAUACAAAUAAAUAUGAAUUUGCUAGAGGAAGGGAUACUAAGAGAACCAGAGCACUGUCACGGUCAUCGCAGAAAACUCUCCCUUUUUUAGCAAGACCAAGUUUUUAGAUAGAAACAGUGUAUUUUGUUAGGACAAUUAAUCUGGAGAAAAGAGCAAAUUUUUCAGAGGGGAUGGCCCUUCUCCAGGCUCUGACUGGAAGCAGAGGCCGGCCACCAUGCAAAGGAAUUAGAACAAACUCUGCAGGUGUAAUGGGGGUUGGGGAGGAAAGGGAAGAGUUCUUUCUCUACUGCAGCUCUAGGAUUCAGUGUAAAUACCAUCAUUCUUAGCUGAAUACAUCUUCAUUAGCCAGCAAAUCUGUGCUGACUGUCUUUCUGGAGAUUUGAUGUGCAAAGGAUGGCUCCAGGCCCAGCUGGAGGCAGAUUAGCCAUCCAUAGGAGUAUCCAUGUGGAAGGAGGUGCUGAGACAGAGCAAUCAAGCAAUUGUUUCAUAGGAAAGCUUGUGCCAAAGCUGUCAGUGUUGGCAUUGUUUUUAUCCUAACUCAAAAUAGCGUCACAAUCACGAUCCUGGAACCAACAGCCAUACAGGAGUCAUGACUUCAGAUGGCACAAAGGGAGCUGCUGUGAUUUUACCUACAGAUGUUUUAUAACAGGUGUACCUCAACCCAUAUCUCGAAGAACAAAAAGAGAAUCAGCUUAACAACUCUAUUUUAAACACGAGGUCUGUUUGAAACAAACCCUGUGGGGGUAGCAAAUUAUGCAGCGAAGUGCUGCUUACAAACAGAGGAAAAUGACUACAGAUGCAUGAAGAGCAAGAUUAAUGCAGCACCUACGCAUUUUAGAGCUAACACACACUGUGCCGUCUUCUGAAAUGGUCUUCUAAGAAACGACUGUGACCUAAAACUGCAGCUGAGGGUUGGCAGCUCAUGGAAGUUGAGUUUUCCUUGUCCAGGUAUUCCAUGAGAAGGGAUGGUGCCUUCCUCUGGGUGUAUGGAGCACCCAGACCUAGAGAAGCCAUAGAUGCCAUUGCUGAGAUGCGACAGCGAUGAACAACUUUCUCUGACAUUUCCUCACAUAUUUGGAGCAUGUCUUCACGUGGGUAACUUCAAGGGGGGAAAUUUGUAUUUACAGAACAUCGAACUAGGAUGGGAUAAGCGCCCCUGAAGAAAUGCUACCUAUUUUCAUUUCCCACCCUUAUGAUUCCAAUGUGUAGGAUUUUACAAUCUUCUUCCCCACACACAUUUCUAGCAGUUGUCUAAGCAUUCUACUCUGUUGCUACUAUGACCCAGAGGAAGAAAUAGAAUGCUUUUUCCAUGGGAAAGAUGAAGAAAAUUCAUAGCUCAUCUAUUCCCCUCCUCCUUGGCUUUCACCCAGCCUUAUUCUUUCCAGGUGCCAUUCCACUGCACAGGAAGGCCUUGAACAUGCUCCCUUGUCAUCCUAGCAGGGAAGGUCACACUCUCCAUCUGUGGCCUCUGUCAAUGACAUCUGACUUGAAUUAAAAGUGUUGUGGGAGGAAGGGCAAGGGGACAUCAUAAAUCUUCAUAGGACUGUUUGAGUUGGAAGAGACACUUAAAGGCCAUCUGGUCCCACUGCUCUGCAAUGAACAGGGACACCCACAGCUCUAUCAAGUGCUCAGAGCCCCAUCCUGCCUGACCUGAAUGUUUCCAUGGGGCAUCCACCACCUCUCUGGACAACCUGUGCCUGUUCUUCACUGCCCUUAUUAUAAAAAAAAAACCUUUUCCAUAUAUACAGCCUAAAUCUUUCCUGAUACAAAUCUCAAGGGCAAAAAAAAAAAAACAAAACAAAACAAAGAAACAGAGAAGUCCCAGUUCUAGGCUCGAAAUAAUGUCUGUCUGGUGUGAGUAACUCCAACAGUGAUGGAGAUAUAUGUAUAAUUUCCUUCCUUGCAUAAGGGACUUAAUCUCAUCUCCUUGCGUGCAGGUCAAGGGACGACUAUGACACUUCCCAUUCUUAUGGCAGGGGAUGCUGGACACUGUUCCUUCCUACUGCAGAUGUGCAGAAAGCUGGUUGCCUUCUUCAUGUGACAUAAUGGGGUGAAAAUAGACAGAGUUGAUAAGAUGUGGGCUUAUGGAAUCAUAGAAUCAUUAAGGCUGGAAAAGACCACUAAGGUCAUCUAGUCCAGCCACCCUCCCAUCACCACCAUGCCCGCUAUCCAUCCAAUGAUUUGCAAUCACACCAGAAAAAUGGCAAAAAUCCCAGCAUUUUUAUGAAGCCUAUUGCCAGAGACUGGAGAAUUACAUCAAUAAAUGUAACUGUAUGCUUGGUCUACUAUAACCUUCCCAAGGUCUGUUCUGGUGGCAGCUGCAUGUCAUCACAGGGCAUUGUGACUCUGCAGCUGGGCUGGAUGAACCCUUGGCCCGCACUGGCAUUGCUGUUCUUCCAUGAAUUCACCCUGUCAGCUUUCCCCCUUCUUGUCCAUUCCCAGUUUGUCCUGAAGAAGGAAAGCACUCAGGAGGGCAGUGCACAAAAGAAUUAACUGCCCAACGAGGCUAUAUACAACCCUUAGGCCACAAGCAAACUGCCUUAGUGCAUUCAAGAGAUAUAUGCAUCAAAUGCAGCUUGACGGUCCGGGUCAUAUGUUACAGAUAGACCACACUUCCACCCCUCAAACAGAGCCAUGCUUUCCCUUUGCUUAGUCCCCUUUUUGGAGCAGCUCUAAUUUAUGAACAAGAUGAUAAAGAAACGAAGAAGAAUCCCGUCAAGGUUCUCUCUGUGAGUUGUAAAUUGUCCAUAUAUCAAAGAUAUUGCCUACAUCCAGCAUUUAAUGCUAUCAGUAAAAAUAUAAUGCGAAGGGGAAAAGAAGAAGUUGCUCACAAGGAGGAAUGAAUAACCUGUGUGAAAUAUUGAGCCUGUAAAACCAGCAUUUCUCCUUUUGGCUGGAAUGUUGGUAUUUCUUGCUAUUUAAUUUACAUAAAUCAAUGAUGAAAAAAAAGAUGUAAUAACAGAAUUCAGAUUCUCUAGCUGCAGGGAAGCUGGGAAAUGAGAGGAUGGAGCUUGGAGAUUAUCGACAUGCUCCAAAGAGAGCAGCACCAGAGAGAAUGGUUUUUCUGAGCUUCCCUUGCUCAAACAAGGUAGGCCCUAUGCCUACACCCCAAUGGUGAGGUAGCACUAGAAAAAAAGGACUAACAAAAUUGACACUUUUAAUGUUACGCUUGAUUCGAUUGCCUGGGCAAUUCUGAAAUGGUAGCUCUGACCAGAUCUGAUUGGUGAUAAAGUUGGAAAAAAAAAAACCUUCGUAAUAUUCAGGUGUCUGUUGAAAAAUCUGUUCAAAAGCACCCAGAUGGGACCGAUGCUAUCCUACAAUGGCCUCAGGGCAAGAGAAGGGAGUGCUGAAAGGCAGUAAGUAGAACAGGGACCUGGUCUGAAUGUCAAACUCCCUGACCCCAAGCCAACCCUUGUGCCCACUGAGCCUUCCCGAUCCAUGGAUGGAUCCCUGCAGGAUCCAUUCUUGGCUUUCCUUGUCUUUACAUGGUCAUCAGGGAAGGGAGCAGGGAGGACGUGAGUGGACCCUGUUGGUGGAACCUGGCAUGCAGCACUGUGGGUCACACCAGGAAAGGAGAGUGGUUUUGUAAAUGUUCAGAUCCCACAACUAACAAAGCCUGGCUUCAGUGACCACACAAGGGCACACAUCCAGAAAAAAAAAAAGGCUGGAACAGGCAUCUUCUGAGUAACACAAUAUAUAUAUUUAUAUAUAUAUCUUAUUUAUUUUCUUCUGCCUUCCUUUGUUUUCUCUUCCUCUGCCCUGAAGAAGCUGUUGAUUAUAAUUUCAGUGCAGUUUGAGAUGCAAGCUUAAUGGAGCGGGCCUUUCUAUUUUUGUACCCCGUGCAUUGUCAUAUGAAAUAGCGUGGAUUAUAUUUUGUUGUUGUUGAUGCAUUGAAUAUACUUGAUAUUUAAAUCCAGCAGCGUUUAUAGCAGGCAGAGAUUCUGUGCUGGGAUCGGAGCAGCUCAGUGUGUGCUUGGUAUUAUUAUUCGUUUGGUAGGAGAUUGAGCUUCUGGCUCCUGGCUUUGUUCAUUUUGUUUUACUUCAGUUUAACCAAGUAAAGUUAAAGAAUAAUUCAGAAUGAUGUUUCUAGUCUUGGAUUUCUCCUUGAUUUCAAUUCUCCUAAUAUCUCCAUCUCUAUUAUGUGCUGCUUCUCCACUCUUUUAGAUUAGUUCACGUGCCAGAUAACCACACAAUUUCUACAUUUAGAACCCAUCCUCAUUUAAGAAGCCCUGAAAAGGGCUAAGAACAGAUAUAAUAAUGGAUUAAGAACAGACAUAAUAGACCCUAACAGCACUGACUGGAAAGCUCCAAUUUAAAGGGAUGUGGUGAAAACUAUCAGCGGGCAAUGAUUUCAUGC
ensembl:lncRNA